GAUGAACGCUGGCGGCGUGCCUAAUACAUGCAAGUCGAGCGAACAGACGAGGAGCUUGCGCCUCUGACGUUAGCGGAGGAGGGGUGAGUAACAUGUGGAUACCCUACCUAUAAGACUGGGAUAACUUCGGGAAACCGGAGAAAACACCGUAGAAUCUAUUGAAGCGCGUGGGGCGAUGGUGAGAGACGGCUGUGCUGUAGCUAAUAGCGGGAUCCGCGCCGCUUUAGCUGGUUGGUACGGUAAAGGGUUUCCACGGGGACGAGGCGUAGGCGAGCUGAGAGGCUGGUCGGCCGCACUGGAACUGAGACGCGGUCCAUGCUCCUGAGGUAGGCCGCAGUAGGGAAUGGUACGCAAUGGUCGGAAGCCUUGCGCAGCGGCGCCGCGUGAGUGAUGAAGGUCUUCGGUGCGUAAAACCCUGUUAUGAGGGAAGAACAAAUGUCGAAUGUACUAUACACUGCUUGACGGUACCUGGUCAGAAAGCCACGGCUAACUACGUG
rnacentral:rRNA from 1 species